CAGAGGGGGCGAGCGUUGUUCGGAAUUACUGGGCGUAAAGGGCGCGUAGGCGGCCCGCUAAGUCGAACGUGAAAUCCCCAGGCUCAACCUGGGAACUGCGUCCGAUACUGGCAGGCUUGAAUCCGGGAGAGGGAUGUGGAGUUCCAGGUGUAGCGGUGAAAUGCGUAGAUAUCUGGAGGAACACCGGUGGCGAAGGCGGCAUCCUGGACCGGUAUUGACGCUGAGGCGCGAAAGCUAGGGUAGCAAACGGGAUUAGAUACCCCGGUAGUCCUAGCCCUAAACGAUGAAUGCUUGGUGUGGCGGGUAUCGAUCCCUGCCGUGCCGAAGCUAACGCAUUAAGCAUUCCGCCUGGGGAGUACGGUCGCAAGGCUG
rnacentral:rRNA from 1 species